CAUAAACUGUUUCGUCACAAGCAUCAGCUGAAACUCACAAUGCUGGAAUAUUCAUCGGGUCUCUGCCUAAACUAGUAACAUAUAUUUAUAGUUACACAAUGAACAACAAUAAAAAACUGUGAUUAUACAAUUGUCCAGUCAUUUUCGACGGAAGUAACAGGUUUAUCUGGAGAUGAACUGUCGGGCUUUGGAGGUUUCUUUGAAAAUAUGGAUGAGAAUGGUUGGCGUAAUGGACUCUCCUCCUGGUUCUUCUGGUCUCGCGGUGAUAGCUUAUCCUUGUUUCUGAAUAUGAGGCUAAGCCUUUUGAAUCGACUUUUUAGUUCAUUCGCGGGUGCAGCUGAAGGUUCUUCAGGUUGAAAGGUGAUCCUUAUAACUUCAUCUGGGCUGAGUACCAUUGUCUCAACAGUCUCGUAGACCUGGCACAAUUCGUCAACUUUGUCAACCCAGUUGCUUCUUUGACAGGUGAGAAUGACAUAUUCUUUACAAUCACUGAACAGCUUCACUAAAUUUGAAUUGUUUGAGAGGGUGGCCUCAGCAGUUAUAAACCCUGAUCCCAAAAGAGAUAUAAACAGCUGCUUGAAAAGCUCAUGUGGAGAUAUAUCUUCUAAAUUAUCCAGAAUACUUUCCACUGCCAAAUCCUCAUCAAAGAGAGGAGUUUGUCUAACAGCCGGCACUGGCUUUGAGGUUUCCCAUAGUUCGCGCCACAAGUUGCCUUCUUUCUGCAUUCGAGUACUCAGUUGGCCUCUUCCAGACAAUGAGUCAUUAGCAUCAGGGGUUUCAUUAAUUCCAUCAAUUGUAUCACAUUCCAUCCAAUCAGGAGGAGAAUGCCAUCUAACGAAAUCUUCUAAUAUACACCCAGGGUUUGCUGCCUUGAAAGCCUGCAUGUCAGAUAGGAGUUGAGAGCACCCAGCUCCAAGACUCCCAGUUCGGAGCACCAGCUCCUCUGUUUCUUUAAUUAGAUCUUCCGUUAGCAAAGGUUCUUCCUGCAUUAUUGGCGUAUAUAUAGGUUCACCCGUUUCCAGCAUUCUUAGAUCAGAUUUGCUGUCCAUUCCUAGCCGAAGAAUUAAUUCUCCAGUGUUAACUUUAGCAUACAAGACAGGAGUUGCAGGAAGGGUGCCGUCAUCAGCAAGAACAUCUGUUUUUGAACUUCCUAGCCUGACAGCCGAAUCCAACGAUUCAGUGGCUGCAAUGCGUCGCUUUUUUCUGGAAAUG
rnacentral:misc_RNA from 1 species